GACCCUUUAGCGCAAUGGAUAGCGCGUUGGACUCCUAAUUCAAAGGUCGUGGGUUCGAACCCCAUUUGGGAUGACCU
rnacentral:tRNA from 1 species